CCAAAAAAUCAAAACCGUGCCCUCCCUUAUGGCACAAAAGCCCCAAAUUUUGUUCAAAACUCACUCUUCAUUCAUGCAUCCAAAACACCUUUUGCAUACAUAUCUUUUUUCAACUCUUGAAACACAUUUUUCAACACUUAAAAAACAAAAGAUAAAAACAUUUAGAAUGAAGAUAUAAUAUGUCAAACGUAAAAUCAAAACCCAUAUGCAUAAAAUCCAAAAGGACACAUCAAAUAUAAACCUUUGGCUCUUUAUACCACUUGAAGGGAAAUAAUAAGAUUUAUGUGGGAUUUCUAGUGACUAGCAUGCAUAUACAAUUCUACAUUUAUAUACAUAAGCAACGGAAGCAUAUUAUCACAUAUUAUCAAAGCUAUAGUCAUGCAAAUCCCCUUCAAGAAGCAUAGGUUCAUGUAUGAUGCAUCAAACAAAAUAUUGAAGAACAAAGUGAAGGUUGAGUUUUGCACCUCUUGAUCUAGACUUUAGACCAAGGUUUGACCACCUCCAAGCUCUUUGUUCUUGGAACUCCUUGAGUCUAGCCUCCCUCCUUGCUUCCUCCACCUUGAUAGAUUUUGAACUCCUUUGAUUCUCCUUUAGUCUCCAAGGUAGAAGACCUCUAAAGAUCCACUCCCACUAGUGUAGUGAGAUGGAUGUUGGAAUAACCAAAAGGGAGAAAAGAUGAUUAGUUAAUUUUCCCUUUUUUGUGGCCGGCCUUGAAUGUGUGAAGAGAGAGAGACUUUUUUUCUCUUUUGUUGAAAAGUACACACAAAACCCUAAUGAAACCUUUUUCAUUAAACUUCCUUUAUAAAUGUCAAAGAAGUGAGUCAACAAAUUGACUUCUUCUCUCUCUCCUUUCUUUAGUAAUGGCCGGCCCCUUAGUGUGGGUUUGGACUUUGGGCUUUUAUCAUCUCAAGGCAUUCUAUGCUUGAAUAAAAGGACCCAAUGGGUUUGGGCCUAAUGGGCCCGAAUGAACCCGAACUUUUCUUUAAGUCCUAAACAAUCUUUCAUCGUUUCUAUGAUUUCUUUAGACUUUCUAAUUAAUCAUAGCACUUAAUUAAUUCCAUCAUCCUUUAGUUGCCUCACCACAAGAGUGUAUCGGUGUACAAUCGUUUUAGGUUCUAAUUAGCAAGGCAGUGAACUGAUUGGCACCAAUCCAAUUAAUUAGUAUUAAUCCAAUCACUUAGUGAAUUAAAAUUUACUUUUAAUUCUCCUUCUUCUUUGAUGACUACUUAUUUAAUCAUCUAGAAGAACUCAUAAGCCAUGAGUGACAUCUAAUCAUAUAUCAUGGCUACCCAAGCUAAUGUAGAAUUUGUUCGAAGAACCUAUUCAGUUGGAAUUACAAUGUAAUUCGAUCCUUCUCUAAUACAAUACUCACAAUCACAUUACUAGGGUAUGGAUACUUAAUGUCAAACCCCUAAUGUGAUUAUACCAUGAUAUAUGAUUCUAUUGAGUCGUAUAGGAACGCCCUCCAUCAUUACGCUUGAUACUUCGGCCAAAGAUUCCCGAAUCAUACCUAAGAGUAUUCUUCCUCUCAUAACGAGGAUUAGAGAUCCCUUGUUGAUAAUUCACGUGCCUCUGAGAAUAAAUUAUUGACCCCAACAAUGCAUAGAACACAUCCAAGAUGAGAUAUGGUCACGUCUCAUUAUCAAAUGAUCAGCAAUGUAUCCCCAAGACAACUAUGAUGUCUCAGGUCAAAGGAUUUCUUACAUUAUUCCAACCAGUAGAGUUACCUGCUUGACAUGUGAGUAGACCUCCAUGCAAGUAUUCUCGUUUGAUUGUGUUCAGUGAACUCAUUCCCUUAAUGAGCACCUACAUACUUGUCUUAGUGUCACUACAUGAAUGACAUGAGACUUUCCAUCCUUCCAUUUGAAGGGGACAUAGUAUGUACUGGUCUAUGUAUUGUUAGUAUCCCUCUGACAAUCCUAUGACCAGGAACCUUUUGGACAUUACGGUUAUGUGAAGAAGGUCUCUGCAGUCUAACAUCAUUAGAUUACUUCUUCCAUCGAUCUAUUGUCCAUGGAUUCCACUAUUUAGGACGUAUAUCGUUUAUUGAGAUAGUUCUAAUGAGUGGCUUUGCCUUUUGCUGUAUUAGAGUCAUCUAUACAUACAGACAUUGUCUUGAAAAGUUUCUUCCAAAGAUUGACUUUCAGGGCAUAUCUCCAACACUGACGUCACAUGUAGAAUGGGUUCAUUCACGCUCACAGCGCACUCUCGUAUUUUGGCACUUUUAGGUUCAAAUUUAUUCACAUAUUCCACAUCACUACACUUCAUGGCUUCAUCACCUCCUAGGUGUCGGUCAACACAACUCGAUUCGAAGUCCUAGUGGACAAUCUGAGUCGGAAUGUGUCAUUCAUGCAGAUACAAGAAUUUUUUGGAAUGACAUCAUUCUCGUUUCGAUUUCUUGUUUUUAUUUUCAUGGAAAAAAAUAGUAUUAUAUAGCCAUGAAGAAGCAUUUGCUGCAUCAAAGACAAUGAUGAAUUUCGUCAAUGUCAUAUUGCAAACCUUUUGUUGUUGUUGGAGAGUUGCAAAUUUAAACGGCUAAGGGAUCAGGAAAGAAGCUGGAUCUAUUUUAACUUCACAAUAUUCAUUUAUCAAAAUAUUCAUUUGAAAUUUAUUUUUAUUUCCAUGUCAUUGCCACAUCAUUUAGUAGUCAUCUUAACUUUUAAUUAGAAGCGUUAGAUGUAAAUAAAUCCAAGAGCUUAUAAAAAGUGUAAAAAUAUUUGUCAAAAUGUUUGUCCCUUGAUCCUAUC
rnacentral:lncRNA from 1 species